UUUGCCUGCCUUUGAGGACUUAUCUAGGCAAAGAAUAUAUGUGCCUUAGAGAGUGUAAGAUACUACAAAUUAUACAGGCUCACCAAAGGGAUGUGAAAUAAAAGGACCAUUAGGAAAUGGGUGAAGGAAGUGUGGACCUGAGUUACCAUAGAGUAGAGGAGAUUCCCAAGAAGGGAGAGAGAGGGAGCAAGGACAGAGAGCAGUGGUAGAUAGCCGAGAGAAGGAGGAGACUUAAGAAGAAAAAGUUAGAGAAGUGUGACUGCAGAGCUGAGGACUUAACUCUGAUGUGACAGUGCCCUGAGAGUCACUUUAGGUUGCAGAGUAAAGGAAUGCUAUGAUGAAAAUAGCAUUUGAAUUUUUUAAAUUCUGGCUCCUUGUUUCCUAUAACCCGAAAGAGAGGAAAGAUAAGUACAAGAUUUUAGAGCUAGUUGGGGCAUAAAAUGAUGAAGCUGAAUUAGGGUAGUCUGAAAGAUAUGGGCAAAUACUGUACAGCUUGGUAUCAAAUUGACCUGAGGACAGAUGGGGGACAAAAAUAGCUCUAAGGUUGUGAGCCUGGUGCAUGGUGGCAGUCCACUGAGUAAAGUGGUAGUGUUGACUGUAACUUCAUAAGCUCAGUGGUAUGCAAAUCCUGCAUACAGAAGAAUCUUUAGAAAGAAAAUGUCCUACCAAUAAUCAGAGCCGAAGGACUGAAGGGACAGCGGGAAGUCUCAGCAGGAAGGCCAGCUGGUAGCUGACUGAAGUUGAGCCUUCCUGGGAAUGUCAAGUCAGACUGAGGGACUGAGCUUCAGUCUAGUCACUCUCUCGAGCGAAAGAGACUUUUAAAGGCCACAUCCGGACUGCUCUGCAUGGCUUACUCCACUGAAUUCAUAAUCACGAGUGGUUGGGUGAGCAGACUUAGCAGAAAACACCAAGAUUUUCCUGAGGAGUGGUGGGGAGAAAAAGGAGGCUGUGAGCUUCAUUUUCCUCUAAAAGGGAGACUUGCCAAAGGGCAGCAUUAGAAGGAAGAGUACAGCAAUAAGCUAUAAUGGAGAAGAAUCUGAAAUAUAUAUAUGAGUGAAUCACUUUGCUGUAUGCCAGAAACUAACACAUUGUAAAUCAACUGUGCUUCAAUAAACAAAA